GCCGAGUCUGCCUUCGGGCAGGCGACACCCGCCUGUAGCUGGAAGGUUCCCCCGGGUCUCCGGGGGCAACGAUCAGCUGCUGCACGCCCGGGGCGUGCAGUUCACAGAUCAAACGCGGGCGGCCUGCGCCCGCAGGUUGAGAUAUGACCGUAGCAGCUCCGCCAGGAGCCUGGCAUGCUAGUUCCGUAGGUGAACCUGCGGAAGGAUCAUUA
rnacentral:rRNA from 1 species